AAAAUAAUUUAUUUUGCAUGUCAUUUUGCAUUUUUCGAACCAUAAACGAUUAUGGCCUGUGAUUUUUCAAAAGGACAAUAGCUACAAUUUCUUUUCCUCCUGCAAGUAUUGUAUUUUCAUUCCACCGAAAGCAUUAUAUCGAAAAUGAUUGUUCACAUGUUUACAUCAACUGGACUCUGAAAAUUGUAGGGAGGGAACUCUCCAAAUCAUAGCUAAACAUAAAGAAACCAACAAAAAACCUCUUGUACAUAAUAGAUCAAAAGAGAACCUUAAGCUAAAGCAAAACAUAAAUGACCAAAAUCUUCAUACUAAUAUGCUAUCUUGCGCUAGGGAAUACAAACACUUGACAAAAGUCCAAUAUA
rnacentral:lncRNA from 1 species